CAGGACGAACGCUGGCGGCGUGCUUAACACAUGCAAGUCGAGCGGAAAGGCCCUUCGGGGUACUCGAGCGGCGAACGGGUGAGUAACACGUGGGAAUCUGCCCUUUGCUUCGGAAUAACAGUUAGAAAUGACUGCUAAUACCGGAUGAUGUCGUAAGACCAAAGAUUUAUCGGCAAAGGAUGAGCCCGCGUAGGAUUAGGUAGUUGGUGGGGUAAAGGCCUACCAAGCCGACGAUCCUUAGCUGGUCUGAGAGGAUGAUCAGCCACACUGGGACUGAGACACGGCCCAGACUCCUACGGGAGGCAGCAGUGGGGAAUAUUGGACAAUGGGCGAAAGCCUGAUCCAGCAAUGCCGCGUGAGUGAUGAAGGCCUUCGGGUUGUAAAGCUCUUUUACCAGGGAUGAUAAUGACAGUACCUGGAGAAUAAGCUCCGGCUAACUCCGUG
rnacentral:rRNA from 1 species